UAACCAGCAUGGUUGAUUAUUUCUGUGAUUUUAUCAAACUGCCUCCGUUUAUUUCAGAAAGACACAAGCAUAUGCAAUUCUUUUUUUUUUUUUUUUGGCUACACUAGUUACAUGAUCUUUGAAUCCAGACUCCCAUUUACCUGUUAUUUUUGGGAGGUAUACAUAUGCUUUUUUACUGUUUGUGUAGUACGUGGAAAUCUCAUUUUCUUCUUACAAUACUCACCUUGUUUCUAGCGUCAAGAAUCUAAGUUAUGGAAAAGCAGAGUCCAAUCCAUCCUGUUUUGUGCUAUCCAAACAACAAAAAUCAUCACAUCAAAGGAAAACCCUCCAAUCCAUCUUGUUUUGUGCAGCUUAGGAAUCGUGAGAUUGGCCAAGAUGAUGCUAUCAAUGCCAUCUCUCCCGCAUUGGGCUGAAGGACCCUGAUAGACCCAUUGCAGCAAUGCUAUUCUGUGGCCCAACUGGAGUUUGGAAGACUGAAGGACCCAGAUUGAGCUUGCAAAAAUGUUGUUGGCGGAGGGACAAAGUCAUCUUUUGGUACAUUGGCCUGAACAAGGUGUUGAUGAUGAAGAAAAGAAAAGUUUCUUUGAUCAGGUAACUCGGCUUAAUUCAAGCUAUCUAGGUGGUUUGGCAUCAUAUAUUCGAAAUGCUAGGAAUCUAUUAGCAAAUUCAAAAGCAGGGAAAAAUCCAUUUAAUGGCUUUACUCCUUCGGUAAGUGAAUCCAUUAAAUUUGUUUUGCAAUCUGUUUUUCUUGUACAUUUCUGCCAGAAAUUUUUCUUCAAUUUCACUUCUUUUUU